CACGUAGUAGUAGGCACCUCCAGCGUAGUAGGAGUCACCGUCGAUGGUGGCUUCUGGCUCCUGAGCUCCAUCGUCUGGUCGCAGCAAUCAGGUAUAGGAAAGGGGAAAAAGGGGGAGCAAAGCAACCGUGAGUAAUCAUCCAAAGUACUCGCAAGCAAGGAGCUACACUACAUAUGUAUGCAUUGGUAUCAAAUGGAAAGGUGGUAUUGUAUGUGGACUGAACUACAGAAUGCGAGAAUAAGAGGGGGAUAGCUAGUCCUGUCGAAGACUACGCUUCUGGUAACCUCCAUCUUGCAGCAGAACAAGAGAGUAGAUGGUAAUUUCACCAAGUAACAUCGCAUAGCAAUAUCCGAACCGACGAUCCUCCCCUCAUCGCCCUGUGAGAGAGCGAUCACCGGUUGUAUCUGGAACUUGGAAGGGUGUGUUUUAUUAAGUAUCCGGUUCUAGUUGUCAUAAGGUCAAGGUAUAACUCCAAGUCGUCUUGUUUCCGAAGAUCACGGCUAUUCGAAUAGAUUAACUUCCCUGCAGGGGUGCACCACAAUUCCCAACACGCUCGAUCCCCUUUGUCCGGACACACUUUUCUGGGUCAUGCCCGGCCUCGAAAGAUCAACACGUCGCAACCCUACCUAGGCACAAGAGAGAGGUCAGCACGCCGGUCUAAAUCCUAUGGCGCAAGGGUCUGGGCCCAUCGCCCAUUGCACACAUGCACGUUGCGUACGUGGCCGGAAGCAGAACUAGCCCCCUUAAUACAAGAGCAGGCUUACGGUCCAAUCUGGCACGCGCCGCUCAGCCGCUGACGUCACGAAGGCUUCGGCUGAUACCACGACGUCGAGUGCCCAUAACUGUCCCCGCGUAGAUGGUUAGUGCGUAUAGGCCAGUGUCCAGACUCAGAUCAAAUACCAAGAUCUCGUUAAACGUGUUAUCUUGAAAUAACUGCGAACACCUACCAGGGCCAGGCCCACCUCUUUCCUAGGUGGUCUCAACCUGCCCUGUCGCUUCACCACAAAGAUCCACACAGAGGGCCAUCGGGAAAGUAUCUCCUUCCAGCCCCCAAUUCGUGAAUCAACUGCGGGUACUCCUCGAGCCAACCCGACUUUCGUCAUCACAUGUAUCAUGUAUAAAGUAUAUAGUAUAUACCCGUGAUCACCUCCCGAGUGAUCACGGCCCGAUAGUAUAGCAUGGAAGACGGACAAGAAUGUAGGGCCACUGAUGAUAAACUAGCAUCCUAUACUAAGCAUUAGGAUUACAGGUAAAGGUAACAACAGUAGUAGCAAGGACAGGCUAUGCAUCAGGAUAGGAUUAACGAAAAGCAGUAACAUGCUACACAACUGUAAUGCAAGAAGUAGAGAGAAGAGUAGGCGAUAUCUGGUGAUCAAAGGGGGGGCUUUCCUAGUUGCUCUAGCAAGAGAGAGGGGUCAUCAAAAUCUUAGUCGUACCGGGUAGCAGCGGCGUCGGUCUCGGUGACUAGUGAGAGAAGAGGGGGAAGAAACAAUAAAUAUUAAGCAAACAGAUGCAUAGCGAUGCAUGACAUGACAAGUAGCGGUGCUAGGGGUGCCCUAACGCGGUAUGAGGUGGUACCGAUGAAGGGGGGAAACAUCCGGGAAAAUAUCCCCGGGGUUUCGCAUUUUCGAGCAGAUGAACCGGAGGGAGAAAGUUGCGUGUUCGCUAUGCUAGGGAUGUGUGGCGGACGAACGGGCUCCAUAUCCGGAUUCGUCUCGUCGUUCUGAGCAACUUUCAUGUACAAAGUUUUUCCAUCAAGGCUACGGUUGAAUUCCUAUGAAUUUCCGAAGUUUUCUGAAAAUCUCCGAAAUUCUGCAAAGUCUGAAAAGACCUCAGUUUUAAACACUACGUAGCCAUUUUCCGAAGGCUAUUGCUAUUCAUCUGUACAUCCUAUGAUUUUGUGCCUUAUAUCAAUUGUGAGCAAUUUUCUGUGAUCUACAUGUUAGUAUCACUUUUAUCCAUAUUAGAGUUCACUAGCUUGAUCAUCAACAGCUCUAAAUUAGCCAUGAAAAUAAAGCUGUUUUCAGUCUUUCACUUAACAGAACUUAGACUUUUGUCAUUUUCGUAGCAUUUAAACCUCACGCCUUUUGAAUUUGGUCCAAUGAAAUGUUUUGAACCUUGUCAAGUUUACUACAUAUCCGUAUUUUUACCCACGUUUAGAAAAGUUUUAUUGUUGUUUUGCUACUGUAAAAAUUGGCAUUCAGUGUAGAUUUGCAAAAGCUAGCAUGCGGUACAGUGCACAUACCAAACACACCAUACGCACACACCCGCACAGGAGCUCAGCCAUGGUUGGUUUUGCACGCACGGGCACACGGCCAUGGACACCAUGGCCAGCAGGCAGCGGCAGCGUAGCAGUGGCAGCAGCAAGCGGCGGCGCUAGCCAACGGUGGUGCUAGGCGUCAGUAGCUAUAGCGGCAGGCAGCGCAAGCAACAGGAGCAGCGGCAAGCAGGCAAUAGCAUCGCACAGCAACAACAGUAUAGAGCAGCAGACGAGCGCGGGGCACGCGGGCGUAGCGGGCGUGCAACGACAAAUGCGGUCAGGGUGCUAACGCGGGCAGGGGCUGGCGAGUGGGCAGCGGCAAGGCGAGCGGAUGGGCUCGGCGGCCUCCUAGCAGUGCCAGGAGCACACUGGGAACACUGGUUCAGGCUAAGGAGCACGGGGUGCUCGACCCCCCGUCGGCCAUGGCGGACGGCGGAUUCGGCGUUCGUGAACGCGGUGAUACGACAUGAAUCCGAGGGGGAAGCAAAGGAGAAAGGAAGAGGGGCUCAUAGUGAGCCUGUAGAUGAGCAAGGUGGGCUCGGGGAGGUCUCGACGUUGCCGGCAUCGAUGACGAAGUUCGUUGGGGCCGAGGAAGAGGAUGACGUCACAUGGCUAGAUGUAGGGGCUCCUGGCUCCAACAUAUUGAAGUGGAUGACGAAGCAGUCAACAGCGGGGCCGGCGGACGUGGUAGCUUGGUGCGGGGUGCUCUGUGGCUACGCGUGCGGCAUUGCGGCGACGAUGGCAGCAGCGUCUGUGGAGUGAGAAGAUGCAACAUCUUGUGGGAAGGGGAAAAAGAUCUCGACAGUAUCCAAUGCAUCGACACUGGUGUUCUUAUCCACCCAGCCGUGUCUGUAGUGACGCGGGCGACGAGCUGGCUCGGCUGGGACGGCGUCCAAUGCUCGGUCGAGUUCGACAGGUGGAGGAGGCCGUUGCUAGUUGGGUUGGGCUGGCUCCUAUGGACUAGAGUCCAGUUGGGCAGUAGGUUUUAUUCCUUUUCAUAUUAUUAUUAUUUUUUGUUUUUCUUUUAGAUUUAGUUUUACGAAAACUCUUACCACUAGUAUCUAAAUUUGUAUAUUUAAAUAUACUACUGCCAAAAUAAUCAUGGCACAUUAAUUAAAGUAGUUUGUAUUUGCCUAUUAAUUUAAGAGCAUGUAAAUAAUAAUUUUACCACUGUUUUAUUUAUUAUAGUGUAUUUAACUACUUUAUAAAGUGUGACGCCACCGUAAUUUUCUAUGCAUUAUUCGGCACAACCCGAACAUUUUAUUUGUUAAUAUUUGAAAACUUUUACGAAUUGACUUUAUUUUUAAUUUGAAACAUGAACUGGGUUUCGAACUAUCGCGAGAUUAGCAACAGUAAUCAAGAUGACGUAUCAUCAUUAGUAGAGGGUUACUUUAGCUUAAUUACCCGAGCGUCACAAUUCUCCUCCACUACAAAAAAUCUCGUCCCGAGAUUUAAGAGGGGAGUAAGGGGGAAAGUUCUGGUAAAGAAAUUCUAACGGAUCUUCUUGGUCUUGGUUGCUCUUCUCAAAGAGUUUGCUCCAUGAUGUUUAUCCCUCCAUUCCUCUACUUUUGUGUGUCGGGACGAAGUUGUCAUCCUUUCUUUUGGAACUCCAUCGUACUUGCGUAAAAUGAAAAGGGGUAAGUCGAUAGAAUGGAACUCUGGACGGUUGCUUAUCCGGUAGAUAACAUUAGGGAAGGUGGCGAAAAGUAACUCUCGAAUUGAAACUUAAGAAAUUAUCGAGAGUAAAGUAAGAAGGUGCAAAGUAGAAGUUUCAAGUGCAUUUGCAAUGAUUCGUUUCCUGAUACAAAAUGUGAAAGGGGUUCAGAGCAAUGGGAAUAAGUAUCGCGUCUAAUACCAGAAUAGAUCACUAUGCAGGUGGCCCGUGAACUACAUACGAAGUCAAGCUCUAGGAAUAACUUUGGCAACAGGGUGUACAGGAGAGUCAGGUUUUGAUCCUGUGGAACUGUGGGUUAUGGGCUCACCAUGUCGUUUAAAGUAGAAAAGGGGGGCCGACAUCUUGCACGGUCAUGAUAGCAAGGCAUGUCAGAGAGUAGCAUGUCAAUUAUGCCGGCAACAACAUCAGUACCAAGGGCGAGGGACGAAGAGAACCAUUUUCCUGCUCAUUGAACGAGGCGGACCAAUAGGCAAAGUUCUCAUCCAUCGGUGGCUACCGGGAUGUCAUCAACAAUAGUAACAUGUACUUACUGACAAAGUGGUACAACGAGGUGUUUACAUAAGCAGGGAAAUAUUACUUCUUAUAUUAUAAAGAUCACAAGAAGGUUUAAACAAACCAAUGGAAUGGAAAAUGUGGUCAUCAGAUUAAAUAGAACAAUGGAACAGAAAAUGUGUUUAACACAUUAUUCAGGGGUAUAUCCUUCCCAAGGAAAAACAGAGCAUGAUAUCCAUGACAGGAUAUAAUUAUAGAAAACCCUUUAGGAAAGGGGGGAGAAAUUUCAUGACAUUACCCAUACAACAGUGUUUGGAUAAUUGAUAAAGAAAAUUUAGCAUUGUGCUUCACAUGUUCUUAUUGAAAUUCGGAGUACCACAGACAUGCUUCGAGAUAGCAUUGACAUGGUCUUCAAGCAAAGGACAGACUUGGAUACACAAAGGAUUAAUCAAGAACAACUUAUAUAGUAAGUCUUACAAUUUCCUCAUGGAAGAAUGGCUAACCUCGCUAAAAUGGAAACUAUAACAAUAGGUCCUCCGGCCAGGUGUGCUAGGCAUGUCAUCACCUUGCCGGGACAUAUAAAGACCGAUGUUAUAAUUCUUGGGAAUAUGUUCCAACCAUCAUAUCUGACCGACAUUCAGAUCUGAUUGAUGUCAGGAUAACUCAGACUUAGGAUGCCUGAGAAGAAAGGUGCAACACAAAUUGACAAGAUGACAAUGUAAGGUCCUCGAGAAAUGAACUAUGGAAGCGAGUUCCGAAACAAGAAUUCAUCAUUAAACCAAGGAGAGGAUGAGGAGGUGGCGGAUGGACUUGGCGACAACCCAUCAAGAUUUCCAAAAAGAUGGAUCUCCUGAAUAAUGUAAACAAGGAGAUAACAUUUGUCAGAUCAAAUGAUAUAAUGAUGUAUGCCUGAGGAGAACAUACGCAAGUAAACAUUGGUUGAAAAGGUGCACCCGAAAGAUGGGCUUAGGUAGCAUGAUCAACGUUAGAAUGGUGGUUCAACAACCAAUGGUCUAAGAAUGAAAUAUCGACCAUUAACUUGAAAGCAAUAGGGUUGCUAGAAGUUUUGAAGUCGCACAUCAUAGUUCAAUUGUCGGUUUCCCGAUUAGAAACAACACAGGGACCAAAAAGCGAACGGAUAAGGCAAGGAGUAUCACUUGUAUCAUGAAUUCUUAAGAGGUGGUGAAAUUCUCACGACAUUCUUGACAUAAAAGAUGGUAGUACUCCAAGGUAAAGAACAAAUGCUCGAUAGCAAGGAUCUCAAGGAAUAUCACGAAACACGAACAAGUUUGUGUUGAACUAAAGGCAAUAAAGUGGUCGAUAAUAACACAACUCAUCGAGGGCAAGGAUGGUACUUCUCAUCAUGAAUUCAAUUGAUAUCCGGGAAGGGGUCAAAAUGUUGAUGAUGAUCACCACACACUUGUCGAGGGGGUUUCAUGAGGAUAUAAUUGAUCAUUGAUGAUAUCAAGCAAAAGAAAGGGUGAAGCGAAAGUUAUCAGAACCAUGGGUAUGAAACAAACUUGAAAUCAAGUUUUCUAUUUAAGGAGAAAUUAUAUGAUAAGGAAGAUCGACGUAAGAUUAGCUCACUGUCGAAAUUUGUGCUCCGUGAAGAAGGACCAGGUAGCACAGUUAAAAAUUAGCCCAAUAAUGUUAUAGCCGAUCAGGCUAGGAAUGACUUGAAGGAUUAUUAAACCCAUAAGAAACGAAAAUUAAUUAGGGUUAUUGUACCGGAAUGCUGAAUCGGUUCACAUAUCGGUGUUCUCAAUUGACGACAACCCAUAACCCAAAAAAAAUUGGAAUCGGUGAGAAAUAACAGUUAAUGAAGAACCCAUAAGAAGUUUUCAGUCCCAUGACAUUAUCAAGAUAUCAUAGUGUAAUACUCGACAGUAGAUCAAAGUAAAGGUUGGAUAGGUGCAAUGAUCUGCACAAGACAAGUACUUAAACUUGUCCGAGAAAUGGUAUUAAGGAGAAAAUAUGGUCGGAACCAUGAUUUCAAAGGACCAAACACAGAUACAGGACAAAAUUAUAACAAGGGGAUUAUUUCAUUUUCAAGAAGCUUCGAUGAUGAGUUCCACAUCGGGUCCAUGGGAUGAACGCAAAGGCUCAAGGUCGACUCCCACUUCUUCAAUGCAUAACCUUUCAUUUUACUUCUCGCUUUUGAUCAGGCUAUAGUGUAGAAAUUUUAUCUGGCGAAACAACAUAAGAGUAUGACUCGCGAAAACUUUCGGGUUCAUAUGGUUUUGGGGAAGGCAUAGGUUCAACCCAUCAAGGCAUCUUAGGAGCAUAUACCACAACUUCAGAAAUAAAUAACACAAGCUCGAUAGUAGAGCAUGCUGGAGAAAGCAGAGGAUACAAUUUACCAAAGGCAUCAUGUAUCCGAGGAAAGGCUCACAAGCUUAUAGGGUAUGAAGGACGCUGUCGGAUAAGAUCCAACAAAGGAUCUGGUGGUCCACAAGGGAUCGGAUGUGAGAAUCGGUACUCAACCAGAGGAAGAAGGAAUGCAAGGAGAUCAGUUCAUGGAAACAACUGACUAACUCAAAGUUCAAAUGCAAAUGAAUUAUCAAUUCCAAGACAAGGGAUCAGAAGCAAUGCUCUGAUUAGGGAUGAACAAGUUGAAUAGACUUAGGGCUACAAUCGAUGGCAAUUUGGUUGGUCGAGAUCCGCUCAUGUUUAAAAUGGCGUCUGAGUCGGAAGGAUGAAUUCAAAGAUCUGGUUGAGGAUUGUGAGCAUUCACACUUAUUGAAUCAAUGUGCUCAAAAUGAUAGUGGCAAAGGAUGCCAAUAAGAUUACUAUACUUAUGGGAUUAACCAUAAUGCAAGCAAGCAAGAAUUUCAAGAGCAAUAAGCUGCUCAGGAUUUUUGGAAGAUCAAAUAGUAUUUCGAAGACUUCGGUGAAACACAUGAACAACUGGGGAGAAACAAAUCCUCGGUGUGUGUAAGGAUUAAUUUAUAGGUGUAUUCAGGUGACAAGGAACUGCAAGGUAGUAGGCACAAUGAUUCUCGGAACAACAACGAGUAUUUCGGGGUAUCUUGUAAUAACAAGAGCAACUUGGGACUAAGGUAAGAAUGGAAAGUGCAUGUAGUUAUCUAUAGGGUUUGACGGUGGAAGGGAAUUGCAAAAACAAUGAGCUCAAGCUCUCGGGAUAACAUCAGAGAGUAUCUUCUCAAUCUUCUCGCGCAGCAGGUGAUCAUCUGUAAUAAGGGGCUCUCCGGAAGGAAGUAAUUACGAGAACCUAGAGUUAGAGUUAGCAAAAUCUUUUAACCCAAUUAGAAGAGAGAUCAGAGUCCCAGAGUAUAGACGAGGAAUAAAAGAUCCUAAUAACACCCAAUGGCGACGUGUCCCCGUAAGGCACAUAGCCAUGUUAGUAAAAGUUUUGCAAUGACUAGGCUCGACUUCGACCAAGGAGUGUGGAAGGGGGAUUCCUAUAGGCAGUCGGCUCUGAUACCAACUUGUGACGACCCCAAUUUGACCGUACACUAAUCUUACACACAAACGUGUACGAUCAAGACCAGCGACUCAAGGGAUGAUAUCACAACACGACUCUACAAAUGAAAAUAAGUCAUACAAGCAUCAUAUUACAAGCCAAGAGCCUUUAGGGCUCGAAUACAAGAGCUCGAUCAUAGACGAGUCAGCGGCAGCAACAAUAUCUUAGUACAGACAUAAGUUAAACAAGUUUGCCUUAUGAAGGCUAGCACAAACGAGGAUAUAGAUCGAAAGAGGCGCAGGCCUCAUGCCUGGGAUCCUCCUAAGCUACUCCUGGUCGUCAUCAGCGGGCUGCACAUAGUAGUAGGCACCUCCAGUGUAGUAGGAGUCGUCGUCGACGGUGACGUCUGGCUCCUAGGCUCCAUCGUCUGGUCGCAACAAUCGGAUAUAGGAAAGGGGAAAAGGGGGAGCAAAGCAACCGUGAGUACUCAUCCAAAGUACUCGCAAGCAAGGAGCUACACUACAUAUGUAUGCAUUGGUAUCAAAUGGAAAGGGGGUAUCAUAUGUGGACUGAACUGCAUAAUGCCGGAAUAAGAGGGGGAUAGCUAGUCCUGUUGAAGACUACGCUUCUGGUAACCUCCAUCUUGCAGCAGAAAAAGAGAGUAGAUGGUAAGUUCACAAAGUAACAUCAUAGCAAUAUCCUAACCGAUGAUCCUCCCCUCGUCGCCCUGUGAGAGAGCGAUCACCGGUUGUAUCUGGCACUUGGAAGGGUGUGUUUUAUUAAGUAUGCGGUUCUAGUUGUCAUAAGGUUAAGGUACAACUCCAAGUCGUCUUGUUACCAAAGAUCACGGGAAUUCGAAUAGAUUAACUUCCCUGCAGGGGUGCACCACAUUUCCCAACACGCUCGAUCCCCUUUGUCCGAACACACUUAUAUGGGUCAUGCCCAGCCUCGGAAGAUCAAUACGUCGCAGCCCUACCUAGGCACAACAAAGAGGUCGGCACGCCGGUCUAAAUCCUAUGGCGCAGGGGUCUGGGCCCAUCACCCAUUGCACACCUGCACAUUGCGUACGCGGCCGGAAGCAGAACUAGCCCCCUUAAUACAAGAGUAGGCUUACGGUCCAAUCCGGCGCGCGCCGCUCAGUCGCUGACGUCACGAAGGCUUCGGCUAAUACCACGACGUCGAGUGUCCAUAACUGUCCCCGCGUAGAUGGUUAGUGCAUAUAGGCCAGUGGCCAGACUCAGAUCAAAUACCAAGAUCUCAUUAAACGUGUUAUCUUGAAAUAACCGCGAACGCCGACCAGGGCCAGGCCCACCUCUCUCCUAGGUGGUCUCAACCUGCCAUGUCGCUUCACCACAAAGAUCCACACAGAGGGCCGUCGGGAAAGUAUGUCCUUCCAGCCCCCAAUUCGUGAAUCAACCGCGGGUACUCCUCGAGCCAACCCGACUUUAGUCAUCACAUGUAUCAUGUAUAAAGUAUAUAAUAUAUACCCGUGUUCACCUCCCGAGUGAUCACGGCCGGAUAUUAUAGCAUGGCAGACGGACAAGAAUGUAGGGUCACUGAUGAUAAACUAGCAUCCUAUACUAAGCAUUAGGAUUACAGGUAAAGGUAACAACAGUAGUAGCAAGGACAUGCUAUGCACCGGGAUAGGAUUAACGGAAAGCAGUAACAUACUACACUACUCUAAUGCAAGAAGUAGAGAGAAGAGUAGGCGAUAUCUGGUGAUCAAAGGGGGGCUUGCCUGGUUGCUCUGGCAAGAGAGAGGGGUCGUCAACACCGUAGUCGUACUGGUUAGCAGCGGCGUCGGUCUCGGUGUCUAGCGAGAGAAGAGGGGGAAGAAACAAUAAAUAUUAAGCAAACAGAUGCAUAGCGAUGCAUGACAUGACAAGUAGCGGUGCUAGGGGUGCCCUAACGCGGUAUGAGGUGGUACCGGUGAAUGGGGGAAACAUCCGGGAAAAUAUCCCCGGGGUUUCGCAUUUUCGGGCAGAUGAACCAAAGGGAGAAAGUUGUGUGUUUGCUAUGCUCGGGAUGUGUGGCGGACGAACAGGAUGCAUAUCCGGAUUCGUUUUGUCGUUCUGAGCAACUUUCAUGUACAAAGUUUUUCUAUUCGGGCUACGGUUGAAUUCCUAUGAAUUUCCGAAGUUUUCUGAAAAUCUCCGAAAUUCUGCAAAGUCUGAAAAGACCUCAAUUUUAAACACCACGUAGCCAUUUUCCGGAGGCUAUUACUAUUCAUCUGUACAUUCCUAUGAUUUUGUGCCUUAUAUCAAUUGUGAGCAAUUUCCUGUGAUCUACAUGUUAGUAUCACUUUUAUCCAUAUUAGAGUUUAUUAGCUUCGUCAUCAACCGCUCUAAAGUAGCCAUGAAAAUAAAGUUGUUUUCAGUCUUUCACUUAAGAGAACUUAGACUUUUGUCAUUUUCGUAGCAUUUAAACCUCACGUCUUUUGAAUUUGGUCCAAUGAAAUGUUUUGAACCUUGUCAAGUUUACUACAUAUCCAUAUAAUUUUUACCCACGUUUAGAAAAGUUUUGUUGUUGUUUUGCUGCUGUACAAAUUGACAUUCCGUGUAGAUUUGCAAAAGCUAGCAUGCGCUACAGUGCACAUACCAAAUACACCAUACGCACACACCCGCACGGGAGCUCAGCCAUGGCUGCUUUUGCAUGCACGGGCACACGGCCAUGGAGGCCAUGGCCAGCAGGCAGCGGCAGCGUAGCAGUGGCAGUAGCAACCGGCGGCGCUAGCCAACGGUGGUGCUAGGCGGCAGUAGCUAGAGCAGCAGGCAGCGCAAGCGACAGGAGCAACAGCAAGCAGGCAAUAGCAUCGCACAACAACAGCAGUACAGAGCAGCAGACAAGCGCGGGGCACGCGGGCGUAGCGGGCGGGCGACGGUAAAUGCGGUCAGGGCGCGAACGCGGUCAGGGGCCGGCGAGUGGGCAGCGGCAAGGCGAGCGGAUGGGCUCGUCGGCCUCCUGGCAGUGCCAGGAGCACACUGGGAACACUGGUUCGGGCUAAGGAGCACGGGGUGCUCGACCCCCCUUCGGCCAUGUCGGACGACGGAGUUCCGUGUUCGUGAACGUGGUGAUACGACAGGAAUCCGAGGGGAAGCAAAGGGGAAAGGAAGAGGGGCUCACAGUGAGCCUGUAGAUGAGCAAGGUGGGCUCGGGGAGGGCUCGACGUUGCCGGAAUCGAUGACGAAGUUCGUUGGGGCCGAGGAAGAGGACGACGUCACAUGGCUUGAUGCAGGGGCUCCCGGCUCCAAUAGAUUGAAGUGGAUGACGAAGGAGUCAAUAGCGGAGCCGGCGGGCACGGUGGCUUGGUGCGGGGUGCUCUGUGGCUACGCGUGCGGCAUGGCGGCGACGACGACAUCAGCGUCUGUGGAGGGAGAAGAUGCAACAGCUAG
rnacentral:lncRNA from 1 species